AUUGAACGCUGGCGGCAGGCCUAACACAUGCAAGUCGAACGAGUGGCGGACGGGUGAGUAAUGUCUGGGAAACUGCCUGAUGGAGGGGGAUAACAACUGGAAACGGUAGCUAAUACCGUAUACACUCAGAGGUGCCCAGAUGGGCUUAGCUAGUUGGUGGGGUAACGGAUCACCAAGGCGACGAUCCCUAGCGGUGCUGAGAGGAUGACCGGCCACACUGGUACUGAGACACGGUCCAGACUCCUACGGGAGGCAGCAGUGGGGAAUAUUGCACAAUGGACGCAAGCCUGAUGCAGCCAUGCCGCGUGUAUGAAGAAGGCCUUCGGGUUGUAAAGUACUUUCAGCGGGGAAGCGUUACCCGCAGAAGAAGCACCGGCUAACUCCGUGCCAGCAGCCGCGGUAAUUC
rnacentral:rRNA from 1 species